AGGAGAACUUUUAAAAAAUGCAAAGUAUAUGUACAUGAAGACAAGAGACUGCAGUUCAGAGGAAAAUAUGGUGCUUGUUGUAAAGUCACCCCUAAGUUUUCUCCAUGGUUAACAAGCAACUGGAGGCUACCACAGCCAUGAUGGCACUGCAAGGGACCUUCAAAUGACCACAAAAUGACAGCUGUGCAAGAAACUUGGGGCAUAAAAAGGUCCAGAGAGCUCCUUAGUGAGGGCCUGGAACUGCAAACCAAAUAGAGGUUUCCCUGGGGAGAUGGUGACUGGAAACUAACAUGCCAUGGGAAGAAUGAGUGGCACAGGCAAAACCAGUAGCACAGAGUUACUUAAGGGCAAGUGCCCAGAUAACCUUACAAGGUGGAUAACAGCCAUGGAUUCAAAGUUUCCAUUCCAGUACAAAUAUUUAGGUUGUAGGAGUGACCAAAGUCUAUAAUAAGACCAGGAUCCCACUUAGGUACUCUGAAAGCCUAAGUCUUAAAGUGCAAAAAUGAGUUGUUUUCUUGAUUUGAUGAAGACAUAGGGGAAUUUGAGUCUUAUUUGCGAUCAAAAACUGUAUUGCUUGGGCACAGGUGGAGGCUGCACCAGUGAAAAGGAACCCAAGUAGUUUUUCCCUUGUCCAACACAGGCCAUGGAGAUGCAAGUGCAUUUCAACCAGUGCAGUGGCAUGGUGCUGUGUGCUGCUGCUUCUGGACUGAGCUACUGUGACUACUUGCAGCUUAGGGAGGCGGCAUGUGCAUGAGACUGCCAGAAGAGACAGCUCU